rnacentral:rRNA from 1 species
CCUACGGGAGGCAGCAGUGGGGGAUAUUGCACAAUGGGGGAAACCCUGAUGCAGCGACGCCGCGUGGGUGAAGAAGUAUUUCGGUAUGUAAAGCCCUAUCAGCAGGGAAGAAGAAAUGACGGUACCUGAGUAAGAAGCACCGGCUAAAUACGUGCCAGCAGCCGCGGUAAUAAGUAUGGGGCAAGCGUUAUCCGGAUUUACUGGGUGGAAAGGGAGCGCAGGCGGCACGGCAAGCCUGAUGUGAAAGCCCGCGGCCCAACCGCGGGACUGCAUUGGGAACUACCGGGCUGGAGUGCCGGAGAGGUAGGCGGAAUUCCUAGUGUAGCGGUGAAAUGCGUAGAUAUUAGGAGGAACACCAGUGGCGAAGGCGGCCUACUGGACGGUGACUGACGCUGAGGCUCGAAAGCGUGGGGAGCAAACAGGAUUAGAUACCCCUGUAGUC